rnacentral:rRNA from 1 species
GACGAACGCUGGCGGCGUGCUUAACACAUGCAAGUCAAACGGGUCUGCCCUGUUUUUUGCGGGGUGGGUCAGUGGCGAACGGGUGAGUAACACGUGAGUAACCUGCCCCUCACUUCUGGAUAACCGCUUGAAAGGGUGGCUAAUACGGGGUGUUCUGGCUGUGCCGCAUGGUGUGGCUGGGAAAGAUUCACUUUUGUGGUGUUUUGGUGGGGGAUGGGCUCGCGGCCUAUCAGCUUGUUGGUGGGGUGAUGGCCUGCCAAGGCUUUGACGGGUAGCCGGCCUGAGAGGGUGGGCGGUCACACUGGGACUGAGAUACGGCCCAGACUCCUGCGGGAGGCAGCAGUGGGGGGUAUUGCACAAUGGGCGGAAGCCUGAUGCAGCGACGUCGCGUGAGGGAUGGAGGCCUUCGGGUUGUGAACCUCUUUCGCCGGUGAAGAAGGUCCUGCUCUUUGUGGUGGGGUUGACGGUAGCCGGGUUAUGAAGCGCCGGCUAACUACGUG